rnacentral:rRNA from 1 species
CCCUUAGAUGUUCUGGGCCGCACGCGCGCUACAAUGGCAGACUCAGCGAGUUACCUCUGUCGAAAGGCACAGGGAAUCUUUACAGUAUCUGCCGUGAUGGGGAUAGACCCUUGUAAUUUUUGGUCUUCAACGAGGAAUUCCUAGUAAACGCAAGUCAUUAACUUGCAUUGAUUACGUCCCUGCCCUUUGUACACACCGCCCGUCGCACCUACCGAUUGAAUGGUCCGGUGAAGUCCUCGGACCCAGUUGAACCGCGAGUUGAACAGGGAAAGUUGACUAAAUCUUACCAUUUAGAGGAAGGUGAAGUCGUAACA